rnacentral:lncRNA from 13 species
AACACUUGAAAAGAAACCGUGGUACAGGGAUAUGGUAAUGCUAAUAUGCUAACAUAAAGCAUUACUUGUGGUACGGUAAUGCUAACAUGCUAACAUAAAUUAUUACUUGUGGUACAGUAAUGCUAACAUGCUAACAUAAAUUAUUACUUGUGGUACAGUAAUGCUAAAUGCUAACAUAAAGUAUUACUUGUGGUACGGUAAUGCUAACAUGCUAACAUAAAGCAUUACUUGUGGUACAGUAAUGCUAAUGCAGUUAGCAAUAGUACUACCUUCUCC